rnacentral:rRNA from 1 species
CCUACGGAUGGCAGCAGUGAGGAAUAUUGGUCAAUGGACGCAAGCCUGAACCAGCCAUGCCGCGUGCAGGAUGACGGCCCUAUGAGUUGUAAACUGCUUUUGUACGAGGGUAAACCCCGAUACGUGUACCGGGUUGAAAGUACCGUACGAAUAAGGAUCGGCUAACUCCGUGCCAGCAGCCGCGGUAAUACGGAGGAUCCGAGCGUUAUCCGGAUUUAUUGGGUUUAAAGGGUGCGUAGGCGGUUUGAUAAGUUAGAGGUGAAAUGUCGGGGCUCAACCCCGAAACUGCCUCUAAUACUGUUGGACUAGAGAAUAGUUGCGGUAGGCGGAAUGUAUGGUGUAGCGGUGAAAUGCUUAGAGAUCAUACAGAACACCGAUUGCGAAGGCAGCUUACCAAACUAUAUCUGACGUUGAGGCACGAAAGCGUGGGUAGCAAACAGGAUUAGAUACCCCUGUAGUC